GUUUUGCACCCGAUCCCGAUAUCGUAGGAGAACCAUUCUUGCAUCAGAUUGUGUUCUGCACCCGAUCCCGAUAUCGUAGGAGAACCAUUCUUGCAUCAGAUUGUGUUCUGCACCCGAUCCCGAUAUCGUGGGAGAACCAUUCUUGCAUCAGAUUGU